rnacentral:rRNA from 1 species
CCUACGGGGGGCAGCAGUGAGGAAUCUUGGUCAAUGGGCGCGAGCCUGAACCAGCCAAGUCGCGUGAGGGAAGACGGCCCUACGGGUUGUAAACCUCUUUUGCCGGGGAGCAACGGGCGCCACGUGUGGCGCCACUGAGAGUACCCGGAGAAAAAGCAUCGGCUAACUCCGUGCCAGCAGCCGCGGUAAUACGGAGGAUGCGAGCGUCAUCCGGUUUGAUUGGGUUAAAGGGGUGCGUAGGCGGAGCGUAAAGUCAGUGGGAAAAUUGAGGGCCUAAACCCCUUCCCGCCAUUGAAACUGGCGCUCUUGAGUGGAAGAGAGGUAUGCGGAAUGCGUGGUGUAGCGGUGAAAUGCAUAGAUAUCACGCAGAACCCCGAUUGCGAAGGCAGCAUGCCGGCUUCCGACUGACGCUGAAGCACGAAAGCGUGGGGAUCGAACAGGAUUAGAUACCCUGGUAGUC